CAGCACGGGGUCCAAUCCUCAUCUCCCCAUAUGACAGUGACUCACAUCCCUCCCUCUCUCUAGACUCACUAGUAACCAGGUAACCAGGCCCAAGUCUACCCUGCGAAUCCAGGCCACAGAAAGUGAUCAUAUGCAGAUACUGGUCCCUCUGAAGACACUCAUUUCCUGACCCUCCUGAGGAGGUUCAGUGGGCCUCUGGGUUCACUUAGGGGCACCUGGAGAGCCCUGAUACAACCUCAUGUGACAACUCUGCUCCUGGCCCUUGCAGACUUAAAAUGCGGAGUUCUCCUUCAAGCCAUCUUCCAGAUGGAAACCCCCAGACAAAUCCAGGAGGACAAAAUCAGGCAGCCUGUGGCAAUCCAAAAUCCUGACCACACAAAGGUAUGCCCAAGAACCAGCUGGAGGAAUUAUUUUUCUGCCUAGGAUUCAAUGCCUGAGGUGAUGUUUCUGAAUGGGACCAGAAUCUUUUAUGAGUAGUGAUAUCAGAGAGGGAAAAGAGGAGCUAAGCUUUCCUGUGUCCCAGAGCAAUUCACCUUGCCUGUGACCUUCACGGUAUAUUGAUGGUUUCAUAAUGGACAUCCCAGAAUACAGAAUCAAAGAGAAUAGGAAAGCACGUUAUUGGUUCCAACUAUUCAAGCUUAUCCAAGCUUUUAACUUUAAAAGCCUUAGAGAAAUGACUUCUGUUUUGUUUUACAUCUCACCCGAUAGUUCUUGACAUGCAAACCAAUUAGCAUUUCAUGAUGGCAUGAAAUAACGCAGGGAGCUGACGACCCUUCUCCCCUCCCAUCCCCCUUUUGCUAACACAUGUUUGCUCUCAGUUUCUGGGUUUAUAUUGCUACUUACUGCACCUCUGUAACUUACAGCGGGUCCAAAUGAGUGCACAACAGUGCUCAGUCUUAGAAAGCCUUGCAAGGGGAAAGGCAAGGAAGGGCUCACUAGCUGUGGACAAGCUGUUUGUUUCUGAUUUUAUAACUUUUAAAUAUUUCAAAUGACUUUUUUUUUUGUAGCUGUGACUGAAUACAAUACAAGAUCACAAGAUACUAGAAGACACACCCAAAUGCUAAGCUACAUUUUUGUUCCAGCUGAGGACAAGGAAUUUUGUUGAGGGUGAGGAGGGAGUGUGGAGGGGGUGGAAAAAGGCAGGGCCCAUUAUUGUAAGGAGAUGGAAUCUGGUAUUUUUCUAAGACUUGUCCCAUUAUACUAAUGAGCAUCUGAUUCAGAACUGUAUCUCCUUUGAAGACCCCUGAGUUUCCUCCAAAUGGGCUCUGCUAAGAUUUCAUAGGAAAAAAUAAAAGGGGACUUGGUUUUCCUGCUUUGUCCUUG
rnacentral:lncRNA from 1 species